GUGUAGUUCAUGGGGUAAGUGGUCGAAAGUAAAAUGAAUAACUUUGUAUGGGCCGUGAAGUUUGUUGUCAGGAACUAGACCUUCAUAACCCUUUAAGCAGGUUGCCACUGGCCCAUAUGCUGCUUUGUGUAAGACAAGGUUGUCCAACUCGCGGCCCAACGCAAAUUUGCAAAUUUAAAACAUGAAUUUUUUUGCGAUUUAUUAUUUUUUUUUUAGCUCAUCAUAUAUCAUUAGUGUUAGUGUAUUAUAUGUGUGACCCAAGACAGUUCUUCCAGUGUGGCCCAGGGAAGCCAAAAAAUUGAACACCCUGGUGUAAGUUAUAAGCAAGCACCUUUUUCUCAAGACACUAUGUGUUCAGCUGCUGAGAAACCAUUACAAGUAAUAAGUAUAUUUAGAUUCCGCACCCCCCCCCCCCGCCGCCUUGUCUCCAGGCAGGUUUCUAACUCACCACCAAGCAAGGGGGACUGCAUAUCCUUUGUGUAGGAGGCUUCUAAAGAUCUUCUCUUCUCUUGAGACUUUCUCCUUUAAAAAAAAAGAAAGAAAAUACCUGCAAGUUCUCCAAGGGAUGUCUGGGAUCACUAAAUAGUCUGAGGUGGUGUUUCCCUCAGGCAAGGCUGUGCCCUAGUUAAGAGCAUGGAGGUACACUGCCUGCUUGUGAAGCCUGGUGGCUCUCACCGCUGUAGCACUUUAGGAAGGUUACUUAAUGCCCCUGGCUCUUUAUCUGUAAAAUGAAGUUAAGGAAUAAAUGAGAAUGCUUAAACACAGCCCAGGACCUAACACAGAGUAAAAGCUCAAGAAUACCCAGAGGGGGUCAGCCUUAGUGGGCUGUAACUUGUAUAGGAUUUGGGGGUGGGAAUACAGAGCAGACAUUGCUAAUUCAUGCUUUGCCUGAUCUCAAGAAAUAAGAACUCUACCCUAGGCUUACUACCUACGGAGUAAGAACUACUUGGCCCUCUGGGACUGAUCUUCAAGCACUGGUCAUUGUGGGACCAAUAAGGGGCCGGUGUUCAGUAGAAAAUACUGGCUUUGGAUUAGCAUUUUGCUUCUUCC
rnacentral:lncRNA from 1 species